rnacentral:rRNA from 1 species
CGGGAAUUUUGCUCAAUGGGCGCAAGCCUGAAGCAGCAACGCCGCGUGAGGGAUGAAGGCCUUCGGGUUGUAAACCUCUUUUCUCAGGGACGAUGAUGACGGUACCUGAGGAAUAAGUCACGGCUAACUACGUGCCAGCAGCCGCGGUAAUACGUAGGUGACCAGCGUUGUCCGGAUUUACUGGGCGUAAAGAGCGCGCAGGCGGUCGUUCAAGUCGAGUGUGAAAGCCCCCGGCUCAACUGGGGAGGGUCACUCGAUACUGAUCGACUUGAAGGCAGGAGAGGGGAGCGGAAUUCCCGGUGUAGUGGUGAAAUGCGUAGAUAUCGGGAGGAACGCCAGUGGCGAAGGCGGCUUCCUGGCCUGUUCUUGACGCUGAGGCGCGAAAGCUAGGGGAGCAAACG